AUUGAACGCUGGCGGCAUGCCUUACACAUGCAAGUCGAACGGUAACAGGUCUUCGGAUGCUGACGAGUGGCGAACGGGUGAGUAAUACAUCGGAACGUGCCUAGUAGUGGGGGAUAACUACUCGAAAGAGUGGCUGAUACCGCAUGAGAUCUACGGAUGAAAGCAGGGGAUCGCAAGACCUUGUGCUACUAGAGCGGACGAUGGCAGAUUAGGUAGUUGGUGGGAUAAAAGCUUACCAAGCCGACGAUCUGUAGCUGGUCUGAGAGGACGAUCAGCCGCACUGGGACUGAGACACGGCCCAGACUCCUACGGGAGGCAGCAGUGGGGAAUUUUGGACAAUGGGCGCAAGCCUGAUCCAGCAAUGCCGCGUGCAGGAUGAAGGCCUUCGGGUUGUAAACUGCUUUUGUACGGAACGAAAAGCCUGGGGCUAAUAUCCCCGGGUCAUGACGGUACCGUAAGAAUAAGCACCGGCUAACUACGUGCCAGCAGCCGCAGUAAGAC
rnacentral:rRNA from 1 species